GCCUCCGCCGGGAGCCGCGGGGAUCUGCGCGCCGGGCAGGUGCCAGGAUCCCCCUCCCUGCAGAGGCGAAGGGCACUGGCUGCCCACGAGCAUCUCCGCUGCGUGGGGCAUGCACAGAGCCCGGCCGGCGGACGGGACCUCACCGGGUCGUUGGAAAAGACGUUGCGGUGCUGGCUGAGAGGGUGUAACUCCGGGGAGCCGGGAGGUGACAGCAGCACUGACAACCGGGGCAGCCAAAACCUCUGCUAGAACAUCAGCUGGGAUAUGGAAGACUGCAGCUGCAAGACUGUCUGCUGUGGAGAUCAAAGCAGGGA